GACGAACGCUGGCGGCGUGCUUAACACAUGCAAGUCGAACGGAAAGGCCCUGCUUUUGUGGGGUGCUCGAGUGGCGAACGGGUGAGUAACACGUGAGUAACCUGCCCUUGACUUUGGGAUAACUUCAGGAAACUGGGGCUAAUACCGGAUAGGAGCUCCUGCUGCAUGGUGGGGGUUGGAAAGUUUCGGCGGUUGGGGAUGGACUCGCGGCUUAUCAGCUUGUUGGUGGGGUAGUGGCUUACCAAGGCUUUGACGGAUAGCCGGCCUGAGAGGGUGACCGGGCACAUUGGGACUGAGGUACGGCCCAGACUCCUACGGGAGGCAGCAGUGGGGAAUAUUGCACAAUGGGCGGAAGCCUGAUGCAGAAACGCCGCGUGCGGGAUGACGGCCUUCGGGUUGUAAACCGCUUUCGCCUGUGACGAAGCGUGAGUGACGGUAAUGGGUAAAGAAGCACCGGCUAACUACGUG
rnacentral:rRNA from 1 species